rnacentral:piRNA from 1 species
UUGGCUCUCGAGCUUUCCCGGCUGC